AAGCCAGCACAUCACAAGGCUCAGUGAACAGGGUCUCUGUUGAGGAACUCCUUGAACAAUUGCAGAUAACCCAGAUUGAGCUCGAAAAUGUCCGAGACACGGCAUUCACAUCGGACCGAACGGCAAAGUCACAAGUACUUCUAAGUGCAAAGGAGGCUGUUUCUUUAUGGGUCCUAGGAGCUCGAAAGGCAAUGUACCGUCGAAUUGUUGAAUCACAGAAGGGCAAUAAGACCAACGUGGACCCAGAGGUCACCCUGCAGUUCCUCAAGUCUGCUAUCUAUUAUUUCCUCACAGAUCCAGAAAACCACCAAGGCCAUCUCAACGCGAUAGAAAACAUCCUAGGCUUUACUGAGGCGGAGAAAAAAAAUAUACGCAAAGCUAGAACUACAUAGAAAGACUGCUGUGAAUGUGUGAUAUCGUCUUUAGAUAAUUUUUGUUGCUAUUUAGGUAGAAAUAAUUGUUGCAUGUCGUCAAUGACGUACAGUACUUAAAUAGUUUAAGAGAUUAAGAUUGGGGUUUAGAUUGUAAGCGUGUGCACAAUUGUUUUAAAUUAUGUCUAUGGCGCCGUUGUAUAGCAUAAUAAUGCACAUAAUAAUUUGUAAUAAGUUGCGGUGAUUGCUACAUUAUAGGUUUUAAUCGAAUUUAUUUCUUAAAUAUUGAAUUGUGAUUUUCUUUGUAGUUUUUAAGAGCCAAAGAAAUGUAUUUCCUUUUUUGUGCAAUUUUUGACUUAAGUUAAAGUAAACCAAACUACAUUCCUUGUAGAUUUUAGAGUAAGUGUUGAUUAUAUUUUAUAGUUUUAUCGUCUUAUUUGGUGUUCUUUUCCUUUGUUUGUUAAUGCAUGCAGGUCGGCAUUUUUAUAACCAAUUUACUUAUAAUUUAUGAAUCGCUUGUAAAGAAAUUUAAAAAGGCUAUUAUUAGAUAACAGUUUUUGCUUAGGUGUUUAUGUCUAAGAAGAACUCAUAAAGUAAAACUCAUCUUAAAGUUGCAUCUUAUGAUAAAUCAUGUGAUCAUUAUCUUGCCACUUAAACUUAUGUCUGUGAUUAUAAAACAAUGCACCUUAACACACUGAAAUACUCGUAUUUUUACAUUUCAAGAUGUGUUCAAUUUGGCAUUCAAGAAAAUUUUAUCACAUUUAUAAAUCAGAUAAAGUUGUUGCCAUAAGUAACGUUACGAGAAAGAUGAAAGAACCUAUUGGUAAAUUUUCUAUUUAUGUCGAAUUGAAAACAAGCAAAUUUUUUAGAUCAAAAAACUCAAUAUAACGGGCUAUGAAAUGAAGUACCCACUUUAUAAAAUUUAUUUAUAAAAAUGAAUUGUCAUACGUUAUAUUGCCUCACUUUGCUUUCGGGUUGUAAAAUACAGUAACCUACUUAAUUAAAAAAAUAUUAUCCAUGUCCGUGUACGUCCGAUAAUCACGUUCGCUAUUGAAUAGAGCGUAGAAGAUUGAAAUUUAUGAAUUAUUG
rnacentral:lncRNA from 1 species